GACAACGACAUUGUUAUUCACAAUGAGAAGUCUGGUGACAAAAAUCCCGAUGAUAAGGACGUUUGUCAUUUCGGCAAUUUGUCGAUGCACCGCGGCGAUGAGUUGAAUCAAGCUACAGAUUAUAGUUUUGUGUGCAUUAAGUGCGUUUGCGAGGUACCUCCUUUACCCACUUGUCAGCGUUUACCGGAUGAGGAAUGCGAUGUCACAAAGCAUCAGCCUUUCCAACAUUAAACAUUUCAAAAUCUGUGAUAAUGUGAUUACUUUCGUUGUAUGACUCAGGAUUAUAGUAAAUUAGUACGUAAAUGUUAAAACUUCUAUAUAUGUAUGUUAAUUAUGUAAUAUGUUAAUUAUGUAAUAUUUCAUAAUAUUCUAAUGUAUGCAUUUCUGCUUUCGAUUGACAAUAGAAGCAUAUUUUUAUAUAUUGCACGUUGAAAAAAAAAA